rnacentral:rRNA from 1 species
GACGAACGCUGGCGGCGUGCCUAAUACAUGCAAGUAGGACGCAGUUGCGAACGGGUGAGUAACGCGUAGGUAACUACCUAUUAGAGGGGGAUAACUAUUGGAAACGAUAGCUAAUACCGCAUACUAGUAGAUGGACCUGCGUUGUAUUAGCUAGUAGGUAGGGUAAUGGGCUACCUAGGCAACGGUACAUAGCCGACCUGGUAGGGGGAUCGGCCAACCUGGGACUGGGACACGGGCCAGAAGCCGACGGGAGGGAGCAGUAGGGGAACGUCGGAAAUGGGGGGAACGCUGACCGAGCAACGCCGCGGGAGUGAAGAAGGUUUUCGGAUCUUAAAGCUCUGUUGUUAAGGAAGCGGUACUUAACCAGAAAGGGACGGCUAACUACGUGCCAGCAGCCGCGGUAAUUC